rnacentral:rRNA from 1 species
UACGUAGGGGGCGAGCGUUGUCCGGAAUCAUUGGGCGUAAAGAGCGUGUAGGCGGACUGGAAGGUCUGGUGUGAAAGCCCGGGGCUCAACCCCGGAGGGUCACUGGAAACCAACAGUCUUGAAUCUGGAAGAGGAGAGUGGAAUUCCUGGUGUAGCGGUGGAAUGCGCAGAUAUCAGGAGGAACACCGAUGGCGAAGGCAGCUCUCUGGUACAUGAUUGACGCUGAGACGCGAAAGCGUGGGGAGCGAACAGG